UUUAAAAUGAAGUAAUAUAUAAUAUAUCGUUGAGCUAACACACGUUCAAAUUGAUAGAGAUAUCAUUGUCCGGGCUCUUGUAACAACUCUAUCUUCUCCUUAUUUAAUAUAUGGGGUAAAUCUUUUGCCUCCGUUUCGAAAAAAAAAUACUUACACAAGGAUACAUAUAUUAUGCACCAAUCAUGAAGAUCCAUAGAUCAUACACCAUGGGUAUCUGACUGAAUACAACUAUAUGCAGAAUUGCACAUGGCACCUAAGUGUGAAGCAUGUCCGGGAUAAUUUGGCAGAGGAUCUCAAACAAAUACUUCGAUUUUAUAGUAUCUAGUAGCACUAGCAGCCACAAAUAUAAUUUUUGUCUAGUCACCAACAAAAAAAUCCCAAAAUUUAAGCCCUAACUCUAUCAAUCCCUAGCACAAAGUAAUUAUUCCCUCAGGGAUGGGAGGAAGGAGAGGCAGAGAUGGGAGGAAGGAGACUGCCUGAACGUCUGGCGUCUGCUCGUCGCUGGCCGUGCCUGUAGCCGUCCAGUGUCUGGCGUCUGCUCCUCCCUUCUCCCUCUCUAGCCCCUGUUGGCCAGUCCUUCCGUUCGCCGCCUGCGAGAAACAAAAGAGUAGUUGGAGCGAUGGAUCUGUCCAUCAUACGAAUUCCCUCACGUCGUGAACUCGUGAAAAAAAAGUUGUUUCAGCCUGUGCUACAGAGACUGCAGUACCGUUGGCCUGUGAACAUGUGAGAAAUGAAGGCCCGCAAU
rnacentral:lncRNA from 1 species